rnacentral:rRNA from 1 species
UGAAUACGAGAUGCUACGGCGUCGAAGCAGUCUAUGUCAUACUUCCAAGAAAAGCUUGCACUGUCAUAAACAAAUAAUGCCUGUACCAUAACCGACACAGGUGGGUAGGUAGAGUAUACUAAGGGGCGCGAGAUAACUCUCUCUAAGGAACUCGGCAAAAUGACUCCGUAACUUCGGGAGAAGGAGUGCCUUAUUUAUAAGGUUGCAAUAACAAGAUCCAAGCAACUGUUUACCAAAAACACAGGUCUCCGCUAAGUCGUAAGACGAUGUAUGGGGGCUGACGCCUGCCCAGUGCCAGAAGGUUAAAGAAGUUGGUUAGCAUCCGCGAAGCUGAUAACUGAAGCCCUGGUGAACGGCGGCCGUAACAAUAACGGUCCUAAGGUAGCGAAAUUCCUUGUCGGGUAAGUUCCGACCCGCACGAAAGGCGUAAUGAUUUGGAUACUGUCUCGGAGAGGGGCUCGGUGAAAUAGACUUGUCUGUGAAGAUGCGGACUACCUGCACCAGGACAGAAGACCCUAUGAAGCUUUACUGUAACCUGAAAUUGAAAUUGGACUUUACUUGCGCAGUAUAGGUGGGAGGCGUUGAGAAUAUUCUUGCGGGAUUAUUGGAGCCAUCAGUGAGAUACCACUCUUGUAAUGUUAGAUUUCUAACUUUGUAUCAUUAUCUGGUCAAAGAACAGUUUCAGGCGGGCAGUUUGACUGGGGCGGUCGCCUCCUAAACGGUAACGGAGGCGCACAAAGGUUUCCUCUGAACGGGUAGAAAUCGUAUCUAGAGUGUAAAGGCAUAAGGAAGCUUGACUGUGAGACCUACAAGUCGAGCAGGGACGAAAGUCGGUCUUAGUGAUCUGACGGUGCUGAGUGGAAAGGCCGUCACUCAACGGAUAAAAGUUACUCUAAGGAUAACAGGCUGAUCUCCCCCAAGAGUUCACAUCGACGGGGAGGUUUGGCACCUCGAUGUCGGCUCAUCGCAUCCUGGGGCGGUAGUACGUCCCAAGGGUUGGGCUGUUCGCCCAUGAAAGCGGUACGCGAGCUGGGUUCAGAACGUCGUGAGACAGUUCGGUCCAUAUCCGGUGUAGGCGUUAGAAUAUUGAGAGGAGCCUUCUUUAGUACGAGAGGACCGAGAAGGACAUACCUCUGGUGUACCAGUUAUCGUGCCAACGGUAAACGCUGGGUAGCUAUGUGUGGAGUGGAUAACCGCUGAAAGCAUCUAAGUGGGAAGCCCACCUCAAGAUAAGUAUUCUCA